GUGCCAGCCGCCGCGGUAAUACGUAGGGUGCGAGCGUUAAUCGGAAUUACUGGGCGUAAAGCGUGCGCAGGCGGUUUUAUAAGACAGAUGUGAAAUCCCCGGGCUUAACCUGGGAACUGCGUUUGUGACUGUAAGACUCGAGUGUGGCAGAGGGGGGUGGAAUUGCAGGUGGAGCAGUGAAAUGCGUAGAGAUGUGGAAGAACACCGAUGGCGAAGGCAGCCCCCUGGGUCAACAC
rnacentral:rRNA from 1 species